UACGUAGGGUGCGAGCGUUGUCCGGAAUUAUUGGGCGUAAAGAGCUCGUAGGCGGUGUGUCACGUCGGCCGUGAAAACCUGCAGCUUAACUGUGGGCGUGCGGUCGAUACGGGCAUCACUGGAGUUCGGCAGGGGAGACUGGAAUUCCUGGUGUAGCAGUGAAAUGCGUAGAGAUCAUGAGGAAGACCAGUGGCGAAGGCGGGUCUCUGGACAGUUCCUGACACUGAGGCACGAAGGCCAGGGGAGCAAACGGG
rnacentral:rRNA from 1 species